UACGAAGGGGGCUAGCGUUGCUCGGAAUCACUGGGCGUAAAGGGUGCGUAGGCGGGUUUUUAAGUCAGGGGUGAAAUCCUGGAGCUCAACUCCAGAACUGCCUUUGAUACUGAAGAUCUUGAGUCCGGGAGAGGUGAGUGGAACUGCGAGUGUAGAGGUGAAAUUCGUAGAUAUUCGCAAGAACACUAGUGGCGAAGGCGGCUCACUGGCCCGGUACUGACGCUGAGGCACGAAAGCGUGGGGAGUAAACAGG
rnacentral:rRNA from 1 species